rnacentral:rRNA from 1 species
CCUACGGGAGGCAGCAGUGGGGAAUAUUGCACAAUGGGGGAAACCCUGAUGCAGCGACGCCGCGUGAGUGAGGAAGUAUUUCGGUAUGUAAAGCUCUAUCAGCAGGGAAGAAAAUGACGGUACCUGACUAAGAAGCCCCGGCUAACUACGUGCCAGCAGCCGCGGUAAUACGUAGGGGGCAAGCGUUAUCCGGAUUUACUGGGUGUAAAGGGAGCGUAGACGGAAUAGCAAGUCUGAUGUGAAAACCCGGGGCUCAACUCCGGGAGUGCAUUGGAAACUGUUGAUCUAGAGUGUCGGAGAGGCAAGCGGAAUUCCUAGUGUAGCGGUGAAAUGCGUAGAUAUUAGGAGGAACACCAGUGGCGAAGGCGGCUUGCUGGACGAUGACUGACGUUGAGGCUCGAAAGCGUGGGGAGCAAACAGGAUUAGAUACCCUAGUA